rnacentral:rRNA from 1 species
GACGAACGCUGGCGGCGUGCUUAACACAUGCAAGUCGAACGGUGAAGCGCUUGCCUUUUUGGUGGGUGUGGAUGAGUGGCGAACGGGUGAGUAACACGUGAGUAACCUGCCCCCUUCUUCUGGAUAACCUCAUGAAAGUGGGGCUAAUACGGGGUAUUCCGGGUCUGUCGCAUGGCGGGUUUGGGAAAGAUUGCGCCUUUGGGUGUUUUCGGUGGGGGAUGGGCUCGCGGCCUAUCAGCUUGUUGGUGGGGUGAUGGCCUACCAAGGCGGUGACGGGUAGCCGGCCUGAGAGGGUGGACGGCCACGCUGGGACUGAGACACGGCCCAGACUCCUGCGGGAGGCAGCAGUGGGGAAUAUUGCACAAUGGGCGCAAGCCUGAUGCAGCGACGCCGCGUGAGGGAUGGAGGCCUUCGGGUUGUGAACCUCUUUCGCCAGUGAAGCAGGCCUGCUCCUGUGUGGGUGGGUUGACGGUAGCUGGAUAAGAAGCGCCGGCUAACUACGUG